rnacentral:rRNA from 1 species
AACGAACGCUGGCGGCAUGCCUAACACAUGCAAGUCGAACGAGACCUUCGGGUAUAGUGGCGCACGGGUGCGUAACGCGUGGGAACCUGCCCUUAGGUUCGGAAUAACUCCCCGAAAGGGGUGCUAAUACCGGAUAAUGUCUUCGGACCAAAGAUUUAUCGCCGUUGGAUGGGCCCGCGUUGGAUUAGCUAGUUGGUAGGGUAAAAGCCUACCAAGGCGACGAUCCAUAGCUGGUCUGAGAGGAUGAUCAGCCACACUGGGACUGAGACACGGCCCAGACUCGUACGGGAGGCAGCAGUGGGGAAUAUUGGACAAUGGGCGAAAGCCUGAGCAAGCAAGGCCGCGUGAGUAAUGAAGGCCUUAGGGUUGUAAAGCUCUUGUACCCGGGACGAUAAUGACAGUACCGGGAGAAUAAGCUCCGGCUAACUCCGUG